GGACAAAAGGAUGAUCUGGCUGCAACAUCUGUCACCCCAUUGAACGCCAGGGCAGAUUCGGCUGAUGGCUGAUCUUCCGGCUAGGUGGGGAUCCUCUUCCUCCCUCACCACUCCAUGUGUGUCCCUCCCGAUGUUGCAUGCUAAGUCAAACAGGACAACUGUCGCCAACACAGGACAACUGUUCUUUGGUCAAUGGUAUACGAGAAGCUGUUUUGCCCUCUAGAACCUCCAAACAAGCUCUCAAGAGAGGUGCUUUAUAAAGUGUUUGCAUUUAUUGAGCUCGGACUGGGAACUUCCUAUACUU
rnacentral:snRNA from 1 species